rnacentral:rRNA from 1 species
GACGAACGCUGGCGGCGCGCUUAACACAUGCAAGUCGAGCGAGAACCAGGGCUUCGGCCCUGGGGACAGCGGCGAACGGGUGAGUAACACGUGGGUAAUCCACCCUCGGCACCGGAAUAGCCCGGGGAAACCCGGAUUAAUGCCGGAUGGCCCGCCGGCCCCGAGGGGCUGGCGGAAAAGGUAGCUUCGGCCUCCGGCCGAGGACGAGCCCGCGACGGAUUAGCUUGUUGGUGGGGUAACGGCCUACCAAGGCUGCGAUCCGUAGCUGGUCUGAGAGGACGAUCAGCCACACUGGGACUGAGACACGGCCCAGACUCCUACGGGAGGCAGCAGUGGGGAAUCUUGCGCAAUGGGCGAAAGCCUGACGCAGCGACGCCGCGUGGGGGAAGAAGGCCUUCGGGUUGUAAACCUCUUUCAGGAGGGACGAAGCCACUCGGGUUAAUAGCCCAGAGGGUGACGGUACCUCCAGAAGAAGCCCCGGCUAACUUCGUGCCAGCCGCCGCAGUAAGAC